AUUGAACGCUGGCGGCAUGCUUUACACAUGCAAGUCGAACGGUAACAGGCCUUCGGGCGCUGACGAGUGGCGAACGGGUGAGUAACGCAUCGGAACGUGCCCAGUCGUGGGGGAUAACGCAGCGAAAGCUGUGCUAAUACCGCAUACGAUCUGCGGAUGAAAGCGGGGGACCUUAGGGCCUCGCGCGAUUGGAGCGGCCGAUGUCAGAUUAGGUAGUUGGUGGGGUAAAGGCCCACCAAGCCAACGAUCUGUAGCUGGUCUGAGAGGACGAUCAGCCACACUGGGACUGAGACACGGCCCAGACUCCUACGGGAGGCAGCAGUGGGGAAUUUUGGACAAUGGGGGCAACCCUGAUCCAGCAAUGCCGCGUGAGUGAAGAAGGCCUUCGGUUGUAAAGCUCUUUGUCAGGAGAAACAGCAGCUCUAACACAGUCUGCGAAUGACGGUACCUGAAGAAUAAGCACCGGCUAACUACGUGCCA
rnacentral:rRNA from 1 species